rnacentral:rRNA from 1 species
UUCGGGGUACUCGAGUGGCGAACGGGUGAGUAACACGUGGGCAACCUGCCCCUAGCUCUGGGAUAACACCGGGAAACCGGUGCUAAUACCGGAUACACACUUUUUGAGGCAUCUNUCGAAGUGGAAAGUUUUUCGGCUAGGGAUGGGCCCGCGGCCUAUCAGCUUGUUGGUGGGGUAAUGGCCUACCAAGGCGACGACGGGUAGCCGGCCUGGGAGGGCGACCGGCCACACUGGGACUGAGACACGGCCCANACUCCUACGGGAGGCAGCAGUGGGGAAUAUUGCGCAAUGGGCGAAAGCCUGACGCANCGACNCCGCGUGAGGGAUGACGGCCUUCGGGUUGUAAACCUNUUUCAGCUCUGACGAAGCGAAAGUGACGGUAGGAGCANAAGAAGCACCGGCCAACUACGUGCCAGCAGCCGCGGUAAUACGUANGGUGCAAGCGUUGUCCGGAAUUAUUGGGCGUAAAGAGCUCGUAGGCGGUCUGUCGCGUCNAAUGUGAAAACACGAGGCUCAACUUCGUGCCUGCAUUCNAUACGGGCAGACUAGAGUUCGGUAGGGGAGUCUGGAAUUNCUGGUGUAGCGGUGAAAUGCGCAGAUAUCANGAGGAACACCGNUGGCGAAGGCGGGACUCUGGGCCGAUACUGACGCUGAGGAGCGAAAGCGUGGGGAGCAAACAGGAUUAGAUACCCUGGUAGUCCACGCCGUA